AGUGAACGCUGGCGGUAGGCCUAACACAUGCAAGUCGAACGGCAGCACAGUAAGAGCUUGCUCUUACGGGUGGCGAGUGGCGGACGGGUGAGGAAUACAUCGGAAUCUACUUUUUCGUGGGGGGUAACGUAGGGAAACUUACGCUAAUACCGCAUACGACCUACGGGUGAAAGCAGGGGAUCUUCGGACCUUGCGCGAUUGAAUGAGCCGAUGUCGGAUUAGCUAGUUGGCGGGGUAAAGGCCCACCAAGGCGACGAUCCGUAGCUGGUCUGAGAGGAUGAUCAGCCACACUGGAACUGAGCCACGGUCCAGACUCCUACGGGAGGCAGCAGUGGGGAAUAUUGGACAAUGGGCGCAAGCCUGAUACAGCCAUACCGCGUCGGUGAAGAAGGCCUUCGGGUUGUAAAGCCCUUUUGUUGGGAAAGAAAAGCAGCAGGUUAAUACCCCGCUGUUCUGACGGUACCCAAAGAAUAAGCACCGGCUAACUUCGUG
rnacentral:rRNA from 1 species